AUUUGUAUAAACAGUUUGUCCUUGUUGUUUUACAGAGGGGACAAAAAUUGUGCACUUUCCAACUGUGUCUAAAUUUGAGCCUUCCUGCAUCUUGAAGAGUAAUCACAUUUUUGAGCCAUGUAAUGUUAUUUUUGGGAAGAGCUCUCCUUCAUGAUGUUGACCUGGAUAUUAUCAGCUAUAAUUCCUUUCAGGUCUUGGAGUUUAUCAGGAUGUCUCAGCUGCCAGUAACAAGCCAGAUGUGUUCAUGCACUGAAGUCUGGAAAAGCUCCUAACUUCAAGAUCUUUCCUCAGUCUUUUCCUAAAAUGGGAAGCUGACCUUUGUCUCUUGGAGUCCUUCUGGACUUUGCUGACAUUGUCAUUUGUCCAACAACUUUAAGGAAAUCAGUUCAUCCCCAGCCUCUGCACCAGCUACUUGCAUGGGAGAAGGACACUAUUAAAAUUUUCCCUGGAGAGCUGCUGAAUUUAGAACAGUGAAAAAACCAAGAGGGUUCUGAGGCAAAGGAUUUUCUUCUGGUGAGAAACGUGCUCAGAAGAACUUUUGUGACAAUAUAAGAGAGACAAAAAGAUUUUAGUAUUCUUGCUGAAGGCUUUUGGCAGCAAAAGAUGAGACCUUCACUGCAUACUUCAAGCAUGAGAAAAAACUGAACUGUGGAAUUGUCUAUUAUUUUUUAUUGUC